GAUUCGCGUGAGGGAUAAUAGCGGCAUCCUUUUAUAGAGCGAAAGCGGAAUAAAAGAUAUAGCGAAUAGCCCGAUUCGCC
rnacentral:sRNA from 1 species